CCUCAUCAGAGCUGACUCAGGCCAAUGGGCACCCCACCUGCGGCAGCCCUAGGAGAUGGAGCAGCCCGGCCCACAUGGCCCGGCCUCCCGCCCCUGACUUGACUUGAUAACGAACCAGAAACUGAAACAGGGUCAGGAUUCCCGGCUUGAAGUCAGAGAUGAGUCACUGCUCAGAGCAGCUGCAAUAGCUGAGAAGAGGCACCAUAGAGGCAGGCAGCGCAUCUGAGGGUCCCCGGUGGAACAUGGCAAGAGGCAUGGAUGUGGUGGCCAUGGACUGUGAGAUGGUGGGGCUGGGGCCCUUCCGGGAGAGCGGCUUGGCUCGCUGCAGCCUUGUGGACUUCCAUGGCACCGUGCUCUAUGACAAGUUCAUCCGGCCUGAGGGCGAGAUCACUGACUACAGAACCCCAGUCAGCGGAAUCACAGCUCGGAACAUGGAGGGGGCCACCCCGUUCGCCGUGGCCAGGCUGGAGAUCCUGCAGCUCCUGAAAGGCAAGCUGGUGGUGGGUCAUGACCUGAAGCACGACUUCAAGGCGCUGAAGGAGAACAUGAGCAACUAUACCAUCUACGACACCGCCCAGGAUAGGCUGCUGUGGCGCGAGGCUGACCUGCACUACUGCCGACGCGUUUCCCUCCGCCUGCUGAGCCAGCGCCUGCUCGGGCUGCGCAUCCAGGAGUUGCUGAGCCACCACCUGCUAAGGAAGAGGAUGUGUCACCUGCACCUGCCAUUGGAAGUUCUCCUCAGGCAGAGGACUCUGAGUGGAUUUAGGGUAGGGCCACCCUAACCCGGAUGACCUCAUCUUGAGAGGCUCAACUAUUAUCUGCAAAGGUAUCUCCUGGGACAAUUCAUUUCCAAGUGUUAGACAAGAGCCCACACUCGGGCCCUGGAAUGGGUCCCCCUUCCUGUAACAGCUGGUGGCUCUGGUGAGGCACCUUCUUCACUACAACUGACAUCCUGAUCACUCGGGGACCAGCUUGCCCACCCACGGGCCAGACCCAGUGGCCACUACCAGGACGCUUUUGUCUCUGGUCUCCUCCUGAUGUAGACGACUGGCCAGAGUGCUCUGACCAGAUAUGUCCACACCCUCCUCCUUCCCUCUCCACCUGAUCAUCUCCACUCUCUGGGGGACACCAAUCCACAGGAACAGAGCUAGAAUCAGGUAAAGUAAAUAACAGUUGGCUUGUGCACCAUUUCAAGCUGAGUCCCAAGGAUGAAGCCUGCUGAUCCAAUGUCUGGUCUUGUGACUAAAGAUGCAGGGUGUCUGAAGUGAAAAAGUGGGGUUGUUUUGGGUGGGGUGAGGGCCCUCACCAACUUUGAGGUCCCCGUACCCCACCUGACCUGCCUUCCCAUUUGCUGAGAGCGAGAGGAGGAAGGCAAUCACGCAGGCAAGUGGCCCAGGCCAGUGCAGACCAGGCUUCUGCUGUGGGAGGCAGAGGAAGGGCUGACAGUUGCUGUUGGAGCCCAUGUCCGCCAGAUGGCGUGAGAGCGCCAGCACAGCCCCUUUGCAGCUCCCUGGCUGCCUCUGCAAGCCCAGGGAAAUGGUGGGAGAUGGAAUGUGGGAAGUCAAGGGGGUUCCCAGGAACUUGCAUUUGGGUCCUUGGGGCCCAUUACCUGUGGCCCAAUGUGCUUUAGGGAAAGGACAAGGUUCUACCAUCACAGCUAUUGUUCAAACUCUGCAUGAUCAUAAGACCCAUUGGCCAGAGAUUUUUGUUAGGCUGUCUAGGGCCUGAGUGCCCUUUGCUUGUUUGGAGGAACAGCAGGGGCCCAGAAAUGCCUGGCUUGAAUCUUGGGCAUGCAGUGUUUGUUCAGUUUUUUUUUUUUUUUUUUUUUUUCUCAUUUUUGUCUGCCAUGUGGCUAUGGAGUUUCCAGGACAGAAAUCAUUUCUGAGCUGCAGCUGGGCCCUAAGCCAUAGCUGGGCCAAUCCAGUAUCCUUAUCCCACUGUGCCAGACCCAGGAUGGAACCUGCAUCCCUCCCACAGCUCCCAUGAUACUGCCAAUGCCAUUGUAUCACAGUGGGAA